GGUAUUGCACGGGGUGCAAUAGCUUUAAUAUCAGCCAUGGAUUAAAUCUAAUGCUCAGAAAAUUGACACGUUAUAUCUCCAGGCUGGCAAUCCGCGUGCUUCAAUUUCUCUCCUAUCUCUUCUCUUCUCAGUUCAGUAGUUCAGCUUUCCCAAAUUUGAAUUUCUCCUAGCUCUCUCUCUUCUCAUUGCACCCACACCACUGCCGUUGGCGGUGCUUAUUACUGGUAUCACCACCACUGGUGGCUACCGGUCUUGAGGGAGAUUCGUCAUGUUGAGAAAUGCGCCAAGCUAUUCUUUAAUUUAUUCAUCUUGUGUAAUGAAAAAAUCACAACAAAUUGAAGUUUCGAAUAGACUUGUCUCAGCCAUGGCAUCAUUUAGGAGAUUCAUCUUUUGCCUUCCAUUGUUGCCAUUGUAUAAUCGAAUUGCUGUGCAAGUUGUAUUUUCAUGUAGUAACUGAUUUUUUGUGUUGAUGAAUAGAUGAAAUGUAAACAAAUUUGUUUGCAAAUAGCAUGUUGUGAUGGAGUUCUAUUAUUA